GAUGGAUGGACAAGACCAUGGUGGCAAUGGUAUGUUCACCUCAUACCUACCCCUCGGAUCGGGGUAUGUGAGUACCUGAUUGCCUGAGCAGCGUGACUGUGGCUCAGACAGCCCCUUCCUUCAGACAAGGCAGCAAAGGGGUGGAAAUAAUGAGAAAAUGAGAUGGAAAAUCUGAGCUGCUUUGGCCAGAAGCUUAUCCUGGAUUUGGAUUCUCUUCUCCCUUGCCCUCCCCAAACAGAUACAAUCAAAGACACCCACUGGAUAUGAUGGAAAUGCUCCGGAAUGAAAAAUACUUUUGACUUCCAAACCUCUGCUCAUCUGUGAGGAACUGCCAGGUCUCAUGUUACAGGUGUCUAUGUAAAUGUAAGCAAUACAUUGCUGGUCUUCUGGAUGCAGAACCACCAAGCACACCCUGCCAACUCCCAUCUUGCAGCUCUGGCUGCUCAGGGUGGAUUUCAUGCUGUCUAUAGCAUCUCAGAGUCUAAUCUGCCCCGUGAACUUGGCACCACAAUCUUGCUGGCGCCUCAAGCUGCUAUGGAGACCAUUGGUGUUUGGAAGUCCCCACAAAGGACAAGGUGGUGCCACUGCUGCUAUGGAGCAUGAGGUUGUGCCACCAACAGAACUCCUGUGGUCAAAGGUAUUGCUGGAUAAGGCACAAUCCCCCAACCCCAGCCUUGUCCCGGCUAGAUGACCCAAAGUGUCCUUCAUCCCCGCAUGUGACCUGUCACUCCAGCUCUCAUCCUGUCCUGCUAGAAAUGGAUACGUUGGAGAAUGCUGGCUACAGGGUAGUAGUACACUGUGGCUGGUAAGGGAAAUCAAAAAAUCAUAAAAUCAUAGAAUGGUUUGAGUUGGAAGGGACCUUAAAGAUCACCCAGUUCCAACACCUCCCACUGGAUCACUCAAAGCCUCAUCCAUCCUGGACUUGAACACCUCCAGGGAUGGGACACUCAUGACUUUUCUGGGUUUCUCUGUGCCAGUGCCUCAGCACCCUCACAGUCAAAAAUUUCUUCCUAAUAUCUAAUCUAAAUCUCACCUCUUUCAGCUUAAAAUUGUUCCCCCACAUCCUAUCCCUGCACUCCUUGAUAAAGAGCCCCUCCCGAGCUCUCCUGUGACCCCCUUUAAAUACUGGAAGCUGCUCUAAGGUCUCCCUGUAGUUUUCUCUUCUCUAGGCUAAACAAGCCAAACUCUCUCAGCCUAUCUUCACAGGGGAGGUGUUCCAUCCCUCUGAUCAUAUUUGUGGCCUCCUCUGGACUCUCUCUAACAGAUCCAUGCCCUUUCUGUGCCGUUAAGUGGCCUUGCAUUAAGAUGGGAAACUGGGCUUUAGUCCUUGGGUGGGUUGCCUGGAACAUUGCGAGGUGGUCUGGAAACAAAUAUGAGACAUCUGAGGUGCCAGCAGCUCCACGGAGUGCCACGCAGGCAGGGCAGGAGUUAAUCUGGAGGGUGAAGGUGUUUAGGACCCUUCUCUCCACCAAAAAAAUCAAGGCUUUGGUGAUCACAGCAGAUUUCACGUUUCCAAAUAAGGCUGAGAGUUUUCCUAAGUAUUUCAAAGGCAGAUUAUAUCUCUUCAGGUUUGAACACUGAUUCAUCCCAACUUGAGCCAAGGUGACUCAGAUUUUGUAAAGUGGAGCCAGGAAAACUAUUUAAAGGGUCUUAAUAAUAAAGUGCUCAUCUCCUUUUGCACUGGUUUUUCUUUUAUUUGAGUGGCAUGUAAUAGGGUAUCUGUGAGGAGACCCUCAACACCUCACCAUGCUCUUACAGGGCCAUAGGUUCCCUGCCUCAGUCUCAAAAAGGAAAAAGCAAAGUGGGCAAUUCCAGAUAAGCGGUGUCUGGGUUCUGUCCCAAAGGAGUAAGAGACCCAAAAGAUUUUCAAACAAGGUGCAGCCCUGGAAAACUGGCUGUAACCCAGAAAAUCCUUGACUAUGCAUGAAGAGAGUGGCUGAAGUCCCAAGUGACUUCAGCAUCUACUGUAUUGUCUUAGAUAUUAAAUUUCAUCCACUUCUACCUUCUUUCUCACUUAGACAGCUUACAUUUGACCACAACUUAUAUUGUGUUUGUCUAACUAUCUCUGCCCCCUACACCAAGCUCCAUCCCUUCAUCUGAAGAGAUGACGACAUACAAACCAAUCCACCUCUGCCUUCUGGGGAUUGCUCCAACGAUGAACGGCCCGACUCAAACCUGUGUGUAGAGCUGCUCUUGUGGAUUUGCCUGACUUUCGUGUCUAUUCCCUGCUUCUCACUAUGACUUUUCUAUGUUAAAAUCCCACUCAACAUGCCAUCCCUUCAUCUGCUCAGACAUUUUACACUAUAUAUGAAAGCUGUAUCACUGACUUCUUUAGAGUGUUGGAUUUUUUUUUCUCUCCAAAAGACAAACUCAAAAUUUGAACUCAAUCUCAUCUCAGAUCAUGCUGCAUUACAGGAACUAUCAUAUCUUACGGAGCUCUGUGGACCUUCAUGGCAAGUGAAUGGCAGCACACCUUUAAACUCUUCUGCUACGUUUUUGAUUUUUACUUUACAUGGAAGGAAAUGUGGUGGUUGCUGGUCCUCUCCUCCCUUUGCUAUGGUCAGAUAUGUUUUUUCCAUUAUUACGCCCCUAAUCCACAGGCAACUUCAACACAAAGAGUACUGACAGCUAGAAUGGAGGAUAAGAGGUUGCCUGGUUUACUCACAUCCCAUCAUAGA